ACGAACGCUGGCGGCGUGCUUAACACAUGCAAGUCGAACGGAAAGGCCCUGCUUUUGUGGGGUGCUCGAGUGGCGAACGGGUGAGUAACACGUGAGUAACCUGCCCUUGACUUUGGGAUAACUUCAGGAAACUGGGGCUAAUACCGGAUAGGAGCUCCUGUUGCAUGGUGGGGGUUGGAAAGUUUCGGCGGUUGGGGAUGGACUCGCGGCUUAUCAGCUUGUUGGUGGGGUAGUGGCUUACCAAGGCUUUGACGGGUAGCCGGCCUGAGAGGGUGACCGGCCACAUUGGGACUGAGAUACGGCCCAGACGCCUACGGGAGGCAGCAGUGGGGAAUAUUGCACAAUGGGCGGAAGCCUGAUGCAGCAACGCCGCGUGCGGGAUGACGGCCUUCGGGUUGUAAACCGCUUUCGCCGGUGACGAAGCGUGAGUGACGGUAAUGGGUAAAGAAGCACCGGCUAACUACGUG
rnacentral:rRNA from 1 species